UUGACAGGGCAGCAGUGGCUAUUAAGAAGCUCGUUCAACAUGAUGGGUGUUUGGCUUUCCUUAGGGGCUUUGCUGCUUGUCAUGCUGAGUGGAGAUAGUUACAGCUACUCUGUGAAGAGGUACGGAUCCUGACGUCUCCUCCAGCAGUGGUUACUUUAAAUCUCCUGCUGAUUCUGAUUGGGAAGUACCUUCUGCUGUGUUUGCGCCCGUGUCAUCUGAUUCUUGGGUUGUCCCAAAUUCAGAUCACCCUGAAAGUAGUGCUGCGAGUGGAUCAGCAGGCAGCUCUUAAAGCUCUGAUGCUUAUCCUGCGUCUGCAUACUCGGGACACAGUAGUGACUCCCACGCAGACUCGACACAACUGAGUUUUCAGCUGGGCUUAAAACACGACUUCAGCUGGGCAGUUAUGCCUCACAGCCCUCAAGCUGACAAAUUUCCACCUUUCUAUGUGGGAGCACCAGACCCUCUUCCCCCUGUGUUCCAGAAAGGCGAACUGUCUCGUGUGGAGAGGGCCUUUGAGCAUGGCAACUCAGAAUCUGAAACUGAAAUGCAAGGCUUUGAGUCUUAUCCUGAUGCUGAAGGUUUCCAUGAGGACUUCAGUGACCCUCUGUCAUCAGACCUUGAUGGGUUUUGGUCUGAAAACCCUUUUUUGGGCUACGUGUUGCUUACUGGCAAGUAUCCCAACUUUAAUGUUGCCCAAUAAAGAUCUGAUUCACUAAUA